rnacentral:rRNA from 1 species
GACGAACCGUGCAAACGUUAUUCGGAAUCACUGGGCAUAAAGGGCGCGUAGGCGGCUCCAAAAGUCAGGGGUGAAAUCCGGCAGCUUAACUGUCGCAGUGCCUUUGAUACUGUGGAGCUAGAGGGAGGUAGGGGUCUGUGGAACUUCCGGUGGAGCGGUGAAAUGCGUUGAUAUCGGAAGGAACGCCGGUGGCGAAGGCGGCGAUCUGGGAAGAUACUGACGCUGAGGUGCGAAGGCGUGGGGAGCAAACAGG